CAGCCGUAAACUAUGCGCGUUAGGUGUAUCGGUGACCACGAGUCACCGAGGUGCCGAAGGGAAACCGUGAAACGUGCCGCCUGGGAGGUACGGUCGCAAGGCUGAAACUUAAAGGAAUUGGCGGGGGGAGCACCACAACGGGUGGAGCCUGCGGUUUAAUUGGACUCAACGCCGGGAAGCUCACCGGAUAAGACAGCGGAAUGAUUGCCGGGCUGAAGACUCUGCAUGACUAGCUGAGAGGAGGUGCAUGGCGUAGACGUCU
rnacentral:rRNA from 1 species